AUAAAAGACCUCAUGUUACUUUACUUGUCACAUUUCAACAUCUUUCCUUAGCUUAUUAGCUCUAUCUCUUUUCUAUCUGUAAAUGGUUGUUGUUGUUUUGUUCUUUGAGACAGGGUCUUGCUCUGUCACCAGGCUGGACUGUAGUGGCAUAAUCAUGCCUCGCUGCAGCCUUGACCUCCCAGGCUCAAACUUCAGCAUUCCGAGUAGCUGGGCCUACAAGUGUGCACCACCACUCCCAGCUAACCUUUUUCUUUUUUUGGAUGGAGACAGGGUCUCACUGUGUUGUCCAGACCGGUCUCUAGCUCCUGGCCUUAAGCAAUCCUCCUGCAUUAGCUUCUCAAAUUGCUGGAAUUUCAGGCAUGAGCCACCAUGCCUGGCCUGGGCUAGUCCUGUAUUCUCUAGAGUUCUCUUUACUUUGUGCUAGCCUAUCUCUCAUUAUGCUGUUCACCUGUUAUAAUGAAUAAUUCUCCGUAUUAAAUUUUACCACUUUAAACUUUUGAGUGGUUUAUGCUUCCUGAUUGGACUCUGACUAAUAUGUUAGGAAGGGUCCCGGGAGAUAAACCCACACAGAUGGGAUUGGGGCAUAGGUUUGGUUUCCCAGGGGGCAGUGCUGAGCUCUUUGCCAGUGGGAAAUGGGAUGCUGGUGAUUUCCAGGAAGUGACCUCACAAUGACUCAAGCUACCACUUACUGUUGAUUGUGACGAAAUGCCAGCUGAGGCACAUGCCUUGGGAGCUAAGUGGUUGCUGCCCUUGACCACUAUGAAGACUGGUGUGGGAAGGGUCGCUUUGGAUGCACUUGAGCAGGGGUCCCCAACCCCUGAGCCAUGGAGCCGUAAGGAGCCACACAGCAGGAGGUGGGACCAUCCAGUUGCAGGAAAACAAGCUUAACACACCCACUGAUUCUACAUUAUGCUCCUACCUCCCGGCAGCCUCUCCAGGCCCAGAACUCUCUCCAGUCAGCCUCUACAGACCAAGCUCAUGACUCCCAAUGGCCUAUUUAGGCCCAUACCCUACCUCACGGCAGUCUCCGCAGAUGAGCCUACUGCCUCACAACAGCCUCCACAGGCACAGCUCCUCCUGCCUCCCAGUGGCCUCUUUCGGCCCAGCCCAGCUCAUGCCUCCCGGCGGCCUUCCCAGGCCCCGCUUUUGACUUUCGGUGGCCUCUGCAGGCCUCGACAAGGCCCGGCCUCCUGCCUCCCGAAGACCUGCACAGGCCCAGCCUCUGCCUCACAGCGGACUCUCCACGCCCAGCUAGCUCUCGCCUCACUGCGGCCUCCCGAGUCCAAAGCUCCUGCCUCUCGGCCGCUUCGGCAGGCCCAGCUCCCGCCUGCCAGUGGCCUCUUCAGGCCCGUGGGGCUCAUUCCUCACAACAGCCUUUCCAGGCCCAGUUUUUCCCUUGCGGCGGCCUCUCCGGGCAGAGAACAUCCUCAAGUCGGCCUCUCCAGACCCACUUGCACCCUCCGGGCAUCCUCUCCGGGCCCAGCUCCUCUUCCUGGCUGCGUCUCCAGGCCCGACUCCUGCCUCUCAACGACCUCUUUGGACUCAUUGGCUACCCAUCUCCUGGCGGCCUUGGUCGGCCAAAAGCUUCCUCAAGCCAAGCUCCCCAGGCCCAGGUCAGGCCUCACGGUGGCCUCUCCAGGAUGAACUGCUGCCCUCCGAUGGCAUCUGCAGGCCCCAAAUGGUCUCCGGUCGGUGGGCUCCUCCACGCCAAGCUUGGGCCUCCCGGCGACCUCUGCAGGCCCAAGUUGUCCUGAAGUUGGCAUCUCCCGGCCCUGCCUCCCAGCAAGUAAGCAAGCUCUUUUGGCUCAACUCCUGCCCAGCUCCCAACCGCCUUUGUAGGCCCCGAACUUUCUCCAGCCAAGUUCUUUGGGCCUCAUUCCAGCCGCCUGGUGGCCUGUACGGGCCCGGCACUGGUUGGAGAACAGCCUCUGCAGGCCCCGCUCUUGCCUCCCAGGGGCCUCUCCAGGCCCACCUCUUGCCCCCACGGCGGCCUCCCGGGGCCAAGUCCCUGCCUUCCUCCCAGCAGCCCGCGUGCGGCCCAGCUCCUCCCUCACGGUGGCCUGUUGAUGCCCAACUCAUGCCUCUGGCACCCUGCCCAGAGGCAUGAGCCCCUGCCUCACACUGGCUCCUCGCACGCUGAGAGAGGUCAGUGUGAGCCCUUGCCUCACACCGGCCCCUCCCACGCUGAGAGAGGUCAGUGUGAGCCCUUGCCUCACACCGGCCCCUCCCACGCUGAGAGAGGUCAGUGUGAGCCCUUGCCUCACACCGGCCCCUCCCAUGCUGAGAGAGGUCAGGGUGAGCCCUUGCCUCACACCGGCCCCUCCCACGCUGAGAGAGGUCAGCCUGAGCCCCUUGCCCCACACCGGCCCCUCCCACGCUGACAGAGGUCAGCCUGAGCCCCUUGCCUCACACCGGCCCCUCCCAGGCUGACAGAGGUCAGCCUGAGCCCCUUGCCCCACACCGGCCCCUCCCACGCUGACAGAGGUCAGCCUGAGCCCCUUGCCCCACUCCGGCCCCUCCCAGGCUGACAGAGGUCAGCCUGACCCCCUUGCCUCAUACCGGCCCCUCCCAGGCUGACAGAGGUCAGCCUGAGCCCCUAGCCUCACACCAGCCCCUCCCAUGCUGACAGAGGUCAGCGGGAGCCCCUUGCCUCACACCGGCCCCUCCCAGGCUGACAGAGGUCAGCCUGAGCCCCUAGCCUCACACCGGCCCCUCCCAGGCUGACAGAGGUCAGCCUGAGCCCCUAGCCUCACACCAGCCCCUCCCAGGCUGACAGAGGUCAGCGGGAGCCCCUUGCCUCACACCGGCCCCUCCCAGGCUGACAGAGGUCAGCGGGAGCCCCUUGCCUCACACCGGCCCCUCCCAGGCUGACAGAGGUCAGCGUGAGCCCCUUGCCUCACACCGGCCCCUCCCACGCUGAGAGACGUCAGCGUGAGCCCUUGCCUCACACCGGCCCCUCCCACGCUGAGAGAGGUCAGUGUGAGUCCCUUGCCUCACACCGGCCCCUCCCACGCUGAGAGACGUCAGUGUGAGCCCUUGCCUCACACCGGCCCCUCCCACGCUGAGAGACGUCAGUGUGAGCCCUUGCCUCACACCGGCCCCUCCCAUGCUGACAGAGGUCAACCUGAGCCCCUUGCCUCACACCGGCCCCUCCCACGCUGAGAGAGGUCAGUGUGAGCCCUUGCCUCACACCGGCCCCUCCCACGCUGACAGAGGUCAACCUGAGCCCCUUGCCUCACACCAGCCCCUCCCACGCUGAGAGAGGUCAGUGUGAGCCCUUGCCUCACACCGGCCCCUCCCACGCUGAGAGAGGUCAGCGUGAGCCCCUUGCCUCACACCGGCCCCUCCCACGCUGAGAGAGGUCAGUGUGAGCCCUUGCCUCACACCGGCCCCUCCCACGCUGAGAGAGGUCAGUGUGAGCCCCUGCCUCAACAGGCCACCAUGAGGGAGGAGCAGGGUCGCACGCGGCCUGUUGGGAGGCAGGCAGGGACUUGGGCCUGGGCGGUCGCGGUGGGGCGAGAGCUGGGCCUGGAGA